rnacentral:rRNA from 1 species
AGAGUUUGAUCCUGGCUCAGAUUGAACGCUGGCGGCAUGCCUUACACAUGCAAGUCGAACGGCAGCACGGGGCAACCCUGGUGGCGAGUGGCGAACGGGUGAGUAAUGCAUCGGAACGUGCCCGGUAGUGGGGGAUAACUCGGCGAAAGUCGAGCUAAUACCGCAUACGUACCGAGGUAGAAAGCGGGGGACCUGCAACGGCCUCGCGCUAUCGGAGCGGCCGAUGUCGGAUUAGCUUGUUGGUGGGGUAAUGGCCUACCAAGGCGACGAUCCGUAACUGGUCUGAGAGGACGACCAGUCACACUGGGACUGAGACACGGCCCAGACUCCUACGGGAGGCAGCAGUGGGGAAUUUUGGACAAUGGGCGAAAGCCUGAUCCAGCAAUGCCGCGUGUGUGAAGAAGGCCUUCGGGUUGUAAAGCACUUUUGUCCGGAAAGAAAUCCGCCUGGCUAAUACCCGGGCGGGAUGACGGUACCGGAAGAAUAAGCACCGGCUAACUACGUGCCAGCAGCCGCGGUAA